rnacentral:rRNA from 1 species
ACGGGUGAGUAACACGUAUCCAACCUGCCGUCUACUCUUGGACAGCCUUCUGAAAGGAAAGAUUAAUACAAGAUGGCAUCAUGAGUCCGCAUGUUCACAUGAUUAAAGGUAAUUCCGGUAGACGAUGGGGAUGCGUUCCAUUAGAUAGUAGGCGGGGUAACGGCCCACCUAGUCUUCGAUGGAUAGGGGUUCUGAGAGGAAGGUCCCCCACAUUGGAACUGAGACACGGUCCAA